rfam:Arthrobacter crystallopoietes strain DSM 20117 genome assembly, contig: Ga0074718_11
GGAAUGGCUUUGCCUAACUCUGCCACCGUUCCGGGUCCGUUCGCAGACAUUUGGCAGAGGCGGGGGACCCACGUUUACCGGGCUCCCUCCAGAGCCCUUGGGGUUAAGCCGCACUCCACCACGGAGCGAUUUUCCGAGGUGGAACGCGGCCGGGUGACUCCCAUCCGAACCCGACAGCUUACCUCGCAGGCAUUGGGAGAGGCUAC